AUUUGCCUAUAACUCCACUUUCGAAUGCUUCUAACCUUUUCUUUUCCGCCGUACCCACUGUCCAUGUUACGCACUUGUACAACGCCACCAAACAUAAUUAGGUCCUCAAAAAUAUUUUGCAUCUGGACCUUUGUUUAUCUAGCUACGCCACUAUCAGUGAUGCUUGAAUUUUGUAAGUUCACUAGAUUAAACGAGUAAUCAGUACUUUUCACUAUUGGAAUAAUGAUAAAGCAGUACAGAAUGUUUAAUUUUGCACAAGUCCGAAAAAAACUGUUUCCUUUACCGUCCAGGUGAUUCAUUGUUUCAGGUGUGCUCAUUUUAUUUGGUCAGUACUAUACCAAUAUGUUACUUACAUAACGAUAUGUAAAUAUUCCUUUUAAACAUUUAAAUACGCUGUUAAACAGUUGAGAACACCUACAUUAAUUACCUAAAUAGUGUUAAUUCCAGGAACGAUAACAUUGUACGUGCUAGUCAGUUAAUUUGUUCGUUGGUGUACCAUACCUAAUAGCUAAUAAUUCUAAAUUUAGUCGGUUCUGAAUAGAAUUUUAUUAAAUGUACGGUCCGUAGAAACACACGAGGUUUAUUAUUGAUUGGAAUGAGUUCGUAUAAUACAAUGGGUUUUUAAAAUGAGAAAAAGGAAGUCUGCCGUCAGUACUGCUAGUGAAGGGACUGUAGAAAAAACUAGGAAGACUGCCGUUAGUAUUGCUAGUGAAGGGACUGUAGAAGAAGCUAGGAAGUCUGCCGUCAGUACUCUUAGUGAAGGAACCGUAGAAGAAACUAACAAAGAAAGCAAGGGAAUGGAAAAGAAUGAAGCUAAAGACGUGGUUGACGCAGGUAAUGGACGAAGUGAAAAAAUACAAAAAGGCUGUGUUACUAGAAGCAGAAGAAAACGAAAUGUUGUUACAGUUCCUCCUCCAACAGAUCACGAAGGAAAUCCUACUGAAGUUUGGAAAUGACCAAAAAUGUUUCAGAUGCCAUAUGCAGGAACCGUAGGAAAUCAAUACAGGAAAUGCACUGAAGAAAAGCUUUUGUGAUAAUUUUAAAUGCCUAAAAGUUUAAAUACCUAGUUAUGUGUAUUUUAAUAAGUUUAUAUUGGCUUAUGUAAUAGAGUGUUAACAUUAUUGAUCCUGCAGUAUUACACAAUUUGUCUGCUUGUAAACUAUUUUAGACUGAAUAUUUACACACUAUUAGUUUAUAUACGGAAAUCAGUAUUAUAAUUGUGUACUAAUGAUGCAAACUUUCAGUUUUUCUAUGUAAUAGUUAUCGGUAUUAUACGAAGUGAGUAGGUAACUUACUUUACGAAGUGUAUAAGCAACGAAGUGCUUACAUUUAAAAUAAUAAAUAGUAACAGAAUUUAAAUUAUUUGUUAAUAUGAACUUCAGUAACUUCUGUUCAGGAGUUUGUGGAUAUUAGAAGUUUCUACAUAACUAAACAACUUUCUAAAUUCGCAAAUAAUUUGGAAAAACAAACAACCAUGUACCUGUAAGCAACAACUGAUUGUUCAUCAUCAUCAUAAGGUCGUCAGUCCUAAGACUGGUUGGACACGUACCUCCACUCUUUCCUAUCCUGAGCUAAACUUCGCCUGAUUGUUACGCCAAAAAAAUAAUGUCUUUAUAAGAAAGAAUUAUUUGGGAAACCUAAUUCGAUUUAAAUUACCGAUGUAAAUUAAAUGCAGGAUUAAAUCCUGUCAAAUGAUUUGAAUAAGAAUAAUUAACAAGGUCUUUUGGAAUUAGUAUUUUUAUAUAAUGAAGUCAGAAAAAAAAAAAAAAUCUCUAAACAGAUCACAUAAACUUUUAAACACUGUUUUAAGCUAAAAUGAAUUUAGGUGGUAUUUUAUUUUAUAAUUAUUUUGUUAGCCAUUUCAACAAACGACGCACUGUAUACUUUUGAACGUCUGUAGAAUGCAAAGCAUAUAAUCAAAAGAUCAAUGAACAGGUCAAUGAUAUUAAUUGUUUUAUAGAAUCACAAUCCCGGCAUCUAUUUCAAUACAGUUGUUAAGAAAAUAUAAUGGCUUCAAGAAUUUACUCAUUUUUAUUGAUUUUACUUUUAUAUUCAGCAUUUUUCUACGACUUUUGUUUUCCUUUAGCAAAUUUUAAGAAGACCGGGAAAGGUAAGUAAAGGUACAAAUGACAAAACAUUUCUCCAAAAGUUAGAUUAUCUUAAACUUUUGGUGAAAGAUUUUAGUACCUAGGCAUACAACAAUAAUUACAAGGGAAUUGAAAGUCCUGGGAUACGACCGAAUAUUGAAGACUUGAUAAAAGGAAAAGUAUCUAUCCACAAAAAAGGGACAUAUGGGCAUCGAAAAAUCAAAGUUGUUAACUAAAGAUGAGUAUCAAUCAGACAGUGGUUCAAUUUAAUUUAUGGUUAGUGAUUACUUUAGUAACUUUGUAGAUUGAAAUGAGUCGCAACAUAAUAAAACUGGUAGAAAUAAAAAUGUA